CGUUACUUCCCACUUUCCAGUCUUCCCUAACCCUAAUUCCCUUCCUUAGAAAUUAGAAAUUAGGGUUUCUCCUCUGUGCGACUGCUGCAAUGCUGCCGAGUACCGACGCCUGACUGCUGUGAGCCUGUGACGCCUUCUUCCUCAGCUCGUCGCUCAUCAUUCUUCCUCAGAUGGCAGAAGUUGAAAGUAGAGUAAGUGAGGUAGCCGCAUUUCAAGUGUUGCAUCGUGAUGGCUAGCUCGUGAUGUAUUAUACAUUCCAAUUUCAAGUGUUGCAUCGGAAUGUGAAUUUAGCACCGGUGGCCGCAUUCUUGAUUCAUUUAGGAGUUCAUUGACUCAUCGGUUGGUGCAAAGUCUUGUUUGUAUUCAAGAUUGGUUUAGAUGUGAGGGUACUCCUAUUAAUGUUGAAGAAGAUUUGGAGUCUCUUGAGCAAAUUGAACUUGGUUCAACUAUGCCUCGUGGUCCUAAAGCUAGAUCGCCUAUUUGGGAACAUUUUGAGCUAGUUGAAGUAAAUGAAGAAGCCCGCAAAGCAAAGUACCUUCAUUGUGGUCGAGUUUAUAAUUAUCGUCCGAAGUAUUAUGGCACUUUUGGCUUAGUGAAGCAUAUUAAGAAGUGUCUCAUGCCUCAUCCAGCGAUUCGUAUUUAAGACUUUAAGUAUCCUUUUCUAGACUUACUUUGUGGCUUGUGGCUUGUGGCUUGUGACUAGUUUGCCAUUGUUUUGUUGUUUGGUGAUGGUAUUUCUAGACUUGUUUUGGACUUUGGUAGCUGCGAGUUUUAGCUAAACUUUGUUUGCUGAAGUGUGUUUGCUUAUCUUCUUGUUUGAAUUUUCUGAACUGUGUUUGCUGAACUGCGAGUUUCAGUUUUUGUUAUUUGAUGAAUUUGGUUUCUUUGA